CGCGCCCGCACUUACCCCUUUGAUCGCGCUCACGAAAAGAAGAGGCAGAGCGGCGAGCGGGAGAGGAGGCGAACAGGGUGCGGCGCAGAGCUUCCGGCGGCGCAGGUCAGCCCCUCUCCGCCCUUCCCCUUCUUCUCCGUUCUCUCCGGGCGGUAGAUCCACUCCUCCCCCGCAUGUGUCCAAGUCCCUGUGCCUCGCAUCACCCGACCGGCCCACCUCCCGCCUGUCCCGUCGUUUGCCGCCGAUGGCCGUCCGCUUUUGCCAUCGCUGCGGUGCCCCUCCAUCGCUGGAUGUCACGGGAGCCCUCCCCCUCUGCUUAUUCAUGAAGCCCCCCAUAGCCCUCGUCCCUGUCCCAAUCCCUAACCCCAUACAGAAACCCUAAAUCCCCAAUCCCUUCUACUCACCAUGUAUGUGUCAGUAUGCUAAUUUAUUUUUCCUUUUGAUGAACAACAACUUAGUGGAUUGGUCAGCAGAUCUGAAGGUCUGUGGAUCGGAGGAUGGAUUCGGAGCAGGCAUAUCAAAGUUCCAUAACAUCAGAUCAAGUAGACGUGAUUUCUUACAUAACUGAAGAGAACAAAAGGAGAAAGAGGAAAAGGAUAAUCUUGACAGAACUUUACUUUGAAUCGGUUCUUCUCGGAAUGGCAUACCUUAUUUCACAGAGAGCACCUCGUGGAAUAGGUAGUUUUAGUGAUGAUGAGCACAAACACACACUUAGGAAGUACUUGUUGAAAGAUAUGUAUGAUGGCUCAGAAGUGGCAUGCUAUGAUCAGCUUGAAGCACCAUGGUUGAAGAAACAAAGAAGAAGUAUAGUAGAGAUUACUUGACAUGGACAGAUGAGAUGGAUAAGGUAUUGUUGGAUGUCUUUGUUGAACAUCACAACAGAGGUGAUCAGGGCCAAAAUGGAUGGAAGCCACAUGUCUACACUGCUGCUAUAAAGGCAAUACGUGAUAAGUGUGGACUGCAUGUCACAAAGGAGAAAAUAUGUUCAAGGAUGAAGACUUUUGACAAGCAUUAUGCUACGAUUAGCAAGAUUCUUUCUCAGAGUGGAUUUGGUUGGGAUUGGGUCAAUAACAAGCUACUCAUGGACAGUGAUGAUGUGUGGAACAAAUAUGUGCAGGGUAAUCCGAAGGCAGCUUGUUACAAGAACAAAGAAGUGAAGAAUUGGGAGGCAAUUUGCACAAUAUACUCCAAAGAUCAUGCAACCGGUGAAGGUGCAAUGACAGGUGCUGAAACUGAAGCGCAACCAAUAGAACCUGAUGUAGUAGCCGUCGAAGACUCUCCCGAAAUGCCACAAAAAAGGCAGCGAACAGGUGAUGCUAUCUUGUGCAUGCUUGGAGACAUGAAAUGUUCUUUUUAAGAUGCUUUGAAAUCACUUGAGCCACUUGAACUGCCCAAGGUUACCCCUCCUCUUGAAAUCCUUGCUGCCCUUGAAAAGAUCCCAGAGUUGUCUCGUUCUGACAUGUUGCGACCAUAUGGUAAACUCAUCCUUAGUGAACGCUUAUUUCAAGCGCUUAUGGAGUUGCCCAUGGACUUUAGGAAGGAAUGGUUGCUGAUGCUCAAUGAGAAGAACAACAUUUGAGUAGUUUCAAGUGCUUAAUAAGUGUUGUUUCUUGGUUCCAUGUAAUAGCUAUGAACUUGAUGGACCAAUUACUAUGUUAUUGUUACAUGUAUGAGACUUGAAUUUCCUAUAUUAUGUUCUGUUGUUGGCUGAUUUAUAAGUGUUCCUGCAGUACAAGUGCUGCUGUUGC